rnacentral:tRNA from 1 species
GCCCCGGUAGCUCAGUAGGAUAGAGCAUCGGAUUCCUAAUCCGGGGGCCAGAGGUUCGAAUCCUCUCCGGGGCACCA